UAAAAAAAAGAGAGAAAAAGAAAGAAAAAAAGGAAAAAGAAAUAGAAAAGAAAAAAACAGCUAUGAACUAUGAGCUUCCAGAUCUGAAUUUUCUGAGUGGAAACCAUUCACUCUUCUAAGACAGACAACAAAGAUUAUUACUUCUUCUAGAUUAGCUAUGAAAUCUAUCCCAAUCAGUAUCUGAUUAAAAUUGAUAUUUAUGUGCAACAUGCUGCACAGCCAUUUGCUAAGCUUAUUGGCAUUUCUGACACUUCCAGGGAAUCCAAUUCCAUGCUUCACUAAUACUGGUAAAGCACUGAAAAUAUCUCCUCCAGCCAAAGUCCAGGUUUACCCCAACAGACAAACACAGAUGCUGCUCCUUGUGCCCACCCUGGCCACAGCCCCACACUCCAGGCUGCACAGCUGGCUGCCAGUGACAGUAUGGGAUCCCCAAAACCCAUGACUGCACUCCGCCCCCUAACUUAGAAACAGACACUCAUUGUUCUGAGACCAAAACCAAGAGGUGGCUUAGAUUUGCCCCAUGGUAGUUCAUGUGGGAGUGGAGAGAAUAGAGUGCAAUGACAAAUCUGUAUGACACUUAACACUGCAAACUUUCCUUUGUUCAUCAGGAGACCCAACCUCUCUACUGGAUGUUUUACAAAUAUAGCAUUGACUGGCGUUUAAGACUGUUGCUGUAAGUUUAUGUUGGGAGUAACAACGAUCAAAGCAGAAGAUAAUUUUUACUUUUCUAUACCAUCUAUGCAUGGAAGUCUAUCUACAUGGCCCAUACAGGCUUAUCAUAUGACCUUGUAACUGCUUUCAUGUUGACUUCUCCAGGACUCAAAGAACAGUCAAGGGCAAUGCUAAGCAACACCAGCCAUCACCAUCCGGCUCUCCACUCCGACCUUCAGUAACCACUCACUUACCCAACAGAUAUACACUGAGCACCUACUAUGUACAGGUUCAAGCCAACAGCCAUGUGGGUGAGACCUCCUGGAGGCAGAUUGUCCAGGCUCAAUCAAAGCACAGAAGACUGCAGCCCUAGCCAAUGUCUUAGACUGCAACCUCACAAGGGACCUUGAGCCAGAA
rnacentral:lncRNA from 1 species